CGGUACCGUCAAGCCCCCCUCCACCGAGGGGGGUGGUUUCUUCCCGUAUAAAAGCAGUUUACAACCCAUAGGGCCGUCUUCCUGCACGCGGCAUGGCUGGAUCAGGCUCUCGCCCAUUGUCCAAUAUUCCUCA
rnacentral:rRNA from 1 species